CAUUUGCCUGUUGUGGAGAAUGGAGAGGUCAUUGCUUUACUUGAUAUAGCAAAGUGUUUAUAUGAUGCCAUUGCUCGAAUGGAAAGAGCAGCUGAAAAGGGAAAGGCUAUUGCUGCUGUUGUGGAAGGUGUUGAAAAACAUUGGGGCACAUCUGGUUCUGGUUAGUAGAGAGUUUAGUGUUUUCUUUAGACAAAGAAAAGGAAGAAGUGACUGAAAUUACACACACAAAAGAAGAUGGCACUGUAAGGGAGAAGCUAAGAUCGGAAUAAACUUUUUAUGAGUUUUUCAUACUGUCUUAUCAUCUGAUAAGUUCUCCCUACACGGUUUUGUUAUUGGUCGAGAUGCAGGAUUCAUAACGUAUCACUGAUAGAUAUGAACAUGCGAAAAAAAUGAUGUUUAUUUUAAAUGGCACCAUCGGUCUAUUUUCUCCUUAUAUAUCAUGACGGUUUCAUCUUUAAUGUAGGUGCUUGAGACUGCCAGUACAGAGCAAGAAACUGGAGAACAUGUGGUGUACGAAAUUCAUACUGUCGCAAAACCCCCUCAAGAUUCCAUUGAUAAAGAAACAAAUGAAGAGAACUCCGCGGAACAUCAGGUUUACCUGGACACAAACAUAAAGCCUACAAAAGUGAUGUCCUUUUUUCUUCGUCUCCAAGUACAUAACCUUUGUGUUUUUCUUUUCCUUCCAAUGUUAGGCAUGUACUGAGGUGGCUGAUUUGAGUACAACUGCAGAGGAAACGAACUUAGAGGAACAUGCCAUUCAGGAACUCUCUUCUCCGCUGGUAGUAGAAGAAGCAACUCUCUUCUCCUUUGUGUUUUUCUUUUCCUUCCAGUGUAAUUUUUGCUGCUGUUUUUUGUGCAGUUUUGUGCACAAAAACCGUUUGAAACCGAAACCGAAACCGUUUGAAACCGCACCGAACCGAACCAAACGGUUUGGUUUCAUUUCGGUUUUGGCUUCAAAACCGCACCGCACCGCACCGCAAAAAGUUUCGAUUUCGGUUGUGGUUUCACUCGAAACCGCACCAAACCGCACCGCGCCCACCCCUAGUCUUUGGAGAUAGAGACAUUCUCUAACUCUUCAGCGGGUUGUGCUUGCUGGGUGAAGGAGUCAUCUCGAGGGUCAUCGGGUUGACUGUUGCCAUUAUGAAGAUCCGAGUUGGCUUCAUCUGGACUGGUCUUUACUACUUGGUUAUGUAUAGAAAGGGUCUCCUUGGGGACAGGCAGGUGUUGUUGCUUAACUGAAGUGUUGUAACAUGAUCAAGCACUAAGUUACCUCCCCUGAUGUAUCCAUUGCCGAAAGGGGUUGGAAACUUCAUCAACAACAUAUGUGUGGAUACCAUGGCCUUGAGAUCAUUGAUGCCUGUGCGGCCAAAUAUGACAUUGUAUGCCGUCGGGCAAUUGACCACUAGGAAGUUAGUGGUAAUAGUAGCUGUGUAGGGGCAUGUACCAAUGGUAAGGGGUAAGUGUAUACUCCCUAAAGGUUGCACGAUAUCGCCAGAGAAGCUUAUCAGAGGAGAAAUCGAGCGAUCGAGCAAGUGUUCAGCUACAUUAAGUGCCUUGAAAGCUUCAGCAAACAUGAUAUUGACUGAAGCACAUGUGUCUAUCAGGAUUCGUUUCACAUCAAAAUUUUCUAUGUGAGCCUCCACGAUCAGCGGGUCGUUGUGAGGGUAGAUGAUACCUCUUUCUUCCUCAGGGUAGAAACAUAUUGGAUCCCAGUUAGGCUUUUGAUACUUGCCUCUCCUGAUGUCUUCCACGUGAAACACUUGAUGGCCAGGUCUCAAAGUUCGUUCACUGUUUUUCAUGGCUCUAUUGGAAGAUUCAGACAUAGGUGUGCCGCCGCUUAUAGAAUAUAUCACAUUCACCUGGCGUUGGUUACGGUUACCCCUUGGAGGGUGAAGGAGGAACUGAUCAAUUUUUCCUUCACAUGCCAAAGCUUCAAUAUGAUCACAGAGGAUGACGCACUUCUCGCCAUCAUGGCCAUUAUACUCGUGGUAGCAGCAAAACAUGCCCGUGUUUUUCGUGGACUUGUAAUCUGGCUGUCUUGGCUUUGGCUUUGGUAUCAGAUGAGCUAUACUGGGGUAGAUGGCCGCGCAUGUAGCGUUCAAAGGUGUGUAUGUCUCAUACCUCGGGGUAGGGCAUGUCUUGACAUGUGAUUGGCCCACUGCAUUGACUGCAUGGGGACGAGCGUUAUUGUGACGAUAUCCUGAGUUAUCGCAAUAGUGCCUCUUAUUCUAUUUAUUAAAAUGAGAUUGGUGAGGAUGGAAAUCUUUCCUUUUGCCCUGGGAUUGAUACGUCUGCUGACUUGGCGAAGCAUUAAAUGAGGCAGGGGGGUGUGCUGCUACCGUUUGGAAGGUUGAGGUCUUCUCAUUCGGUUGGAUCUGGCCUCCACUCCCUACUUGCUGAUAAGGGGUGACUGUAGGGGGUUUCCCUUGAUAUGUCAUUGCCUCGGCGGAGGCAUGGUUGUAAGCUUGUGCCAUCACCUCAGAGUAAGUCUUCCAAGUGUUGGCAUUGAUCGUGUACUUAAAGAAACAGUCACGUAAGCCUGCCGUGAAGGCCUUGAGGGCGGUCUUGUCAUCUGCCUCAGCGCAACAAGAAUACUCAUGGCUGAAGCGGCCAGCAUACUUUCGUAAUGACUCAUCCGGCUUCUGGCGAAUAGUGUACAAGUCAUCUGCGGAAUGCAAGCGAUCGGUCUGGAAGAUAUGUUGAGAGACAAACAGCUUCCUCAACUCUUCAAAUGAGUCUACUGUCUCAGGUGGAAGACGGCAAUACCAGUUUAAAGCUCUGCCAGAGAGGGUAGAGGGGAAGAGAAGGCACCGUUCUUCGUCGGUGUGUCUCCAGUAUACCAUGGUGAACUCAAAUAGGUUAAGGUGUUCAAUCGUGUCUUCAUUUCCAGUAUAGAGUUGUAAGCCAAGCUUCUGCUUUGUCUUUGCUUGGAGGGGGUGUUGAGGAUCCUUCUUGUGAGGGGGCCAGGCCUAGGUUGGUUCCAAUCAGGUAUCUCGACUUGAUGUUCAGCCUUCAACUUGUUUACUUCUUCCAGGAGCUGUAGGACAAGGGGGUCCUGAGUGGAGUCGUGCACCACUGAAGUUUUCUUCCGUAAGUCCCCAUCGCCUCUUGUAAGUAGGAAAGUUUGAUCAAGAUAGCGUGAUUUUUCCUUGGACUCGCCACACUGACUCCUAGAGUGAGUAUGUCGGAAUAUUUCCGAGUCCCCUGUACCUUCAUGUUCUUCUGGGACUUGUUGCCCAUUCCCUAGAUUGGCCGCUGGCCUGGGUCGUGGAAGAGGACCGAGUCUUUCAGAAACUCUUGGGUCAUUGAUCUUCGAGCUUAUGUGGAUGAAAUUCUUUCGACGUUGCUUUAGGAAGUCUCGACAAUCGCGAUAGACGGCUUUUGAUCCUUCCACUCUCUCUGUGAAGAUGUGCUUUCCUCUACUUCUUCUGCUUCGGGUUGAAGCAGCUGGGUUGAGAGAAGUCUCAUGUUGAUUAUCACAUUGAUGUGUAGCUCGAUCCCUAUCAGGGAUGUCCGUGUUGGAUAUUGAUGACCCUCCGUGUUGGGGGGCAUUCAGAUGAUUGUUAACCUCAACAGGGGCGACGAGCUUGUGUGUUUGAGCAUGCCUAGCCUCGUGAAGCAUCUCGAAAAGUUUUUCAUAUUGUUCCUGGAUGACCUCAUUCUUCAUCGCUAUCUUGUUGUUCUGAACCUCUAACUCAUCGACUUUAGCUUGAAGAGUAACUCUAUUUCCUUCCUGCUUUCGUUGCUUCAUACUAGGUCCAAUUGGGGUGUCAUUCUGUGUGCUAUGGCUUCUUUUGCUCCCCAUGUCGGAGAGAGAUGCUUGACCAAAAGAAAGUGUACGAGCGGUGGAAACCAGCUUGACAAAGCUGAAGAGAGUGGGAAUAAGUGUCGUUUCCCACAGACGGCGCCAAAUGUUGAUGCACAAAAUCAGCGAGGACUUUGGUACAACAGAAAGUGUCAGGUUUGUGACCUUCGCUUGGUUGCUUCGAUCACUAGUGAAGAUAAGUAUGUAAAUGAAUAGGGAUAGGGAAGCAAACACAAGAUGUAUGUGGUUCACCCAGAUUGGCUACAUCCACGGAGUAGAGGAGUUCUCAUUGAUUGUGAAGGGUUUACACAAAUACAAAGGUUCAAGCUCUCAUUUUGUGAGUUCUAGUGAAUAGUUUAGUACAAAAUGACAUUAGAAAUUAUUGUGGGAGAAUGAUCCCUAUUUAUAGAAGAGAGUUUCUAGUUUUGUUCUAACAUUGACACGUAUCGUGUUGUGAUUGGCUUCUGAUGUUGACACGUGUCGCGCUGUGAUUGGCUUCUGAUGUCGACACGUGUCGCAUUGUGAUUGGCCUCCUGGUUGAAGGGAAGCUCUUCUGGGUCCUUAACGGUAUAACGUUGACCGGUGCUCAGUAGUUUCGGGAUUGGUCAAGUAUGGUACAAACAAAGCACAUUAUUGCUAGCCGAUUAUAAGGCUAAACUCAGUCCAUAUCCCUUAAUAUAGAUAAUAUCGGUUAUUUAAAAAAAAAAUAUUUUAAAAUUUAACUAGUAUAUACGAUGCGGGACUAUAUUUUAUUUCUUUUUAUAUUUUAGGGCUAAAUAUAAUCUAUUGAGGCUACAUGUUGCAUGACGUGGGCCAAACUUAAUUGACCAUUUUAGCCAGAUUUCCUUUUAGCUUUUGGUUGGAGAUUAAUUUUGUCAAUUUUAGAGUCUAAGUGUGGCCUGUAUCCCUUGGCCGAAGAAAAGCAAGAUGAAGACUUAACGCGCUAUUUGCAAAAAUGCUCUUUUAAGAUAUAUAUAUAUAUAUAUAUUUAUUUUUUUUAAAUCGAUAUUAUCUACACUAAAGAAUAGUGGGGUGAAUUUAGCCUCACUUUGGACUAGCAAUAAUAUUGUUCAAAUUCGCUUUAGUGAUAAUUGAAUUUAAAACAUCUCACUUAAAAAUGAAAAGAAAUAUUAUUAGACCGUAAUAUUAAGUGGUGCUCUUUAAGAUAUUAGAAUUAGAAUGACCUAAACAAACGUAUGUUUGGGGCCAUAUCAUCCAUUACAUAUCAUUCAUUCAUUAAUUAAAAGUGUUUAAUUUCACUUUUGCUUAAUUUUCUUCACGUUUUAUUCAUCAUUGUCUCAUCAGUUCCAGCAUUUGGUUUCAUCAUUUUUCCUUGAUCUUGACUUCUAAAAUCUUUAGGUUAUGCCUUGUCGUAUGAGCAUGUUCGUUGCCAUCGUACUUGUCGUCAUCAUCACCUUAUUUUUAUUUAUCAUCGUCUCUUCAUAUUUAUGUGAAUUGGAUAACAGCGAACCCUAAGUUUCUUCCUCCAAUCUUCGAUGCAAAGGUGUCUUUGGUUUCAUCAUUUUCCCUUGCUUUUAGACUUUAAGAUCUCAAGUUGUUUCUGCGAUCUCUUUUUUCUUUUGGUUCAAAGAAGAUGGUGAAUCACAAUUAUCCACUAUUUUCAAACUCAAAGAGCCUAGUUAGGAAUUUCACCAUAUCUAAGACCAUGAUAAGCAGAUUCACAGUUUAUAAAAUACCGAACUCAUGACCUCUAAAUGCUUUUAAGUUUAUUUGAAUAGGAUUUUUUUUUUAAAUUUUGUUUCAACAAUUAAAUCCCAUUAUUUAAAAAAAAAAUCAGUUGCUCUUUCUAGGACCAGAAAGACUCAUAAAAGCAUUUUCAAUCUCUCUUGAUCACCACAUCUUGUGAUUCACAAUGCGACGAGUCGAACCUAGGACGUGUUCUACGAAAUACUGACCUAAAAUUCGUCCCUAACUAUUAGCCAACCCGUGGUGGCUACAGUGAAAUCCCAUUUUGAAUAAAUAUUUUUUGUCUCUAUAAAUGCAUAUUCAAACAUAUAUUUGAUGUUGGCACACAAGAAGUUACACCAGCUAAUUUGAGCAACAAUAACUAGAUUGCUUAGUAGCCGUAACUUCAUGAUCAUCACCACCAAUAUGGAUGGUUUCCUUCGCACCACCGAGACUUUUACUCGCAACACUCGUUUCUUCCACUUUUGCUUCCAAACUUCUCUGCCUCGUAAUGUCAUGAAUCUUAGAAAUCAUAACCAAAAAUACUUGCUCCACGUUCACAUUCUCUAACGCAGACGUUUCCAUGAAGCACAACCCUUCUGCCUCUGCAAAACUUUUGCCUUCUUCCUCGUCGACCUCUCGAGACUGGCUCAAAUCCGACUUGUUUCCGACGAGGACAAUGACCAUGUCCAAAUUACCAAACUCGCGAAGCUCUCGCAACCAGUUUCUCACGUUUUCGAAGGAUUGUCUCCGGGAAAUGUCGUACACCAGAAUGGCGCCAAGCGCCCCACGGUAGUAUGAGCUCGUGAUUGCUCUAAAUCUGCAUUAAUAAACCAAAGUAUAAUUAACCACCACUACUCAUACGCAUAAGCAUAAAUAUAUUUUUCUAAAUUAGUACUUCCAACAAAAACAUUAACCAUCGCAAAAAUGUCUCUGUGUAGGAAAUAAUUCUGUUUAUAAGUGCUUUUAUAAAGAGGUCGCACUUGGUGCGAUGGCAAGUGCCUUCGCCCAUGAGCGGUAGGUCUCGGGUUCGAGACUUGGGAGCAGCCUGUCCAUAAAUGGGGGUAAGGCUAGCCGACAUUCACCUCUCCCAGACCCUGCGUAAAGCGGGAGCCUUGUGCACUGGGUACGACCUUUAUAAGUGCUUUUAUAAGAAGUGAUUUCAUUACAGACACGUCCAAAUGCUUCUUAAAAUGCAUCAUGAAGAAGCACCUAAUAGAUGCUUGUCCAAAAAAUACUCUUGUAGUCCAUAAACACUUACAAGUUUUUCAAUGUAGUCAAAUUGGCAUAUUUCUUUUACGAGCAAUAUUAGUGGAAGGCAAAUCGAAUCAAGGAUUUCAUGUGUAAAAGAUUAAUAUUCUUAAUCACUUGAACUACAAAUCCGUUACUACAAAAAAUAUUUUUAACCCUUAAAAAACAGUCUCAAAACAAAUCUUGAAUUCCACUAAUUCACGGAGUGUGGAUCACACUCAUGAUGUCUUGUAUAAUCACUUUACUUUUUUCCUUUUCUGAACAAUAAUCACAUUACAUAUUAAAUAGUUGUUGUGCGAUGAUAGGAACUUUUCUCUACCACCUCAAGAAUCCAAGAUUAAGAAAGUUAACUGAAGAAGGUGAAAAGCAGAAAACUAGGGCAAAAAUCACUUCACCUUAAUUAGCGGCCACCUAAUGGUUAGUCACUUACGCUCACCAGUAGCAACAACGAUAAAGACAAAAGAAAUUCAGAAAAGCAAAUAAAAAGAACUCCAAACUUUGAGCUCUAUCCUAGUGCUACUUAAAAAAAAAAAAAAAACUAAUGAAAAAAAUUUAAAAACUUUGAGUUUUAAUGAUAAGGACAAAAUAAAAGGUAAAAUAAAUAGUAGCAAGUUUGACUUUUUAGUGUAAAAAUAUGAUUUUUCGUUAAAGUAAACAGUACCGUGGGCUUUUCGUUAGAACUUCCUUAAAAAAAAAUGCAAAAGUGAAAUACCGAGGAGAUUCUCUUAAAAGUAUAAUUUUUUAUAAUUAUUUUUUGGUUUUUUGCAUAUAUUUGAUAAUGUUGAUACAAAAGUUAAUGUUAAACUAGUAGGUGACAAAGAGUCUAUGAUGACUCUCACAAAGUCGGAUUCUUCAUAAGAGAAACGCCAAGAAAGCUCUCUCAAAGUGAGAUUGUCCAUAACCUUAUGUUUUUUACACAAUGUUUUAUAAUGGCACAUAAAUUAUGUAAAAAACAUGAGGUGGUGACAAGUCCAUAGAGAGUCUCACUUUUGAAAAAAUCUACUUAAUAUUUCUUCGUAGACUUUCUCCUUUAACGUCAAUUUCCGCGAACAUUAUAAAACAUUUUAUCAAAACCAUGAGACGGUAUAAAAGUCUAUUUGGAGAGUUUCUUUUUAACAUUUAUCAAUAUAAAUUUUAGGUUAAAGGGCCCCACCAGCGUGGAUUAUUAAACUAGGGGUAUAAUUACAACUUUUGACGUUAAUGGGACCAAAUCAUGAAGGGAAAGGCAGGGUUGAACAGUUGUGUUCAUAUCCAUAAUUUAGUUGCUUCAAAAGAUCGGCAAACGUAAAAGCAUCCUUAAACCAAAAGGAAAAAAAAUAAGAGAAAAGCUAGGGCAAUUUUGGGAAAACUGAUCGCAUUGAAAAAUAACAUUCAACUUGCAUAAAUAUUCUACGUAAUCAGCGCAAAGGAUGUCGUUUGAUCUAUAACACAAGAAAAAUAAAGCAUGGUAGUGGACAAAGGGGAAAAUGACUAACGUAUGCAUUCAGAAUGACACAUACGUUCCAAACCAAUAAUACAACACGGGCUUGUUUUGCAGUAUUUUCAAAAUGGCUGAAGAAAAUUCUUAAUUAAAAUGCAAGUAAAUUAUGGAAAAAAAACACUUGAAGUGUUUUUGUAACUCAAAAUAUAUUCUCUAUAAAAGUUCUUUCAAUUAUCUUAGAAGUACUUUCAAACGAACCGUAGGAUCGCCCAGUAAGAGGAGGUGGGUUUUCUAGUUAUCCAGUUAUAAGUAUAUGCAUGUUCUUCAAAUAUAUUCCAAAGACUAUGAUCAAGUGAAACAAAAUCAAAUUUAAGAAGAUGAAGUGAGGGAGGGAGGCGUACCUUUCUUGGCCGGCAGUGUCCCAAAUUUGAGCCUUGACGAUCCUAUCGGCAACCUUGAUAUUCCGGUAAGCGAACUCGACGCCGAUGGUGGGCUUGGAAUCCAACCGGAAUUCGUCUUUGGAAAACCUGGAUAGCAAAUUCGAUUUGCCAACUCCGGAGUCUCCGAUCAAAACUGCCUUAAACAAGUAAUCACACUCUUCAUCAAUCGAAUCACCCAUCAACAUGUAUGGUAAUUACUUGAUGAUCCAAUUAAUUACAACUCUUAAAACACUAAUUAAUCAUAAACAUAAAGACAAGCUAAGAAAACUUGAAGCAAUUUGGGAAGAGGCAGAGCAAAUGAAAGGUGGAGGAAGAGACCAAUAUGUUGGACAUAUAUAUAUAUAUAAUGUGUGUGAACAAGUCCAAAUCAGUAGAGCAUGAGGAAAUGAAUUGAAAUUGUUCAUUUGCUUUUGGAGGGUAGUGAGUCCUUUACAUGUGAUAACAUUGAAAAAGACAUGAUGACUGCUCCCUUUAGCACAAAUUAAGCAAACUUUAUUUAAGACCUACACUGAGGUGGAGGUCAGCCUCACAAUGAAUUAGCCAUAAAAAUUUAUUUCGUAUUCGCAUUUGGUAAGGUGAGAAUCGAACCUAAAACGUCUCACUUAUAAACUAAUCAAACGUAAUCUCGAAUUCACCUCAAUUCUUUUCUUUUGCACAAAUGAAUUUAGUCCUCACGACAACUUAUAAUUGAUAAUGUUAGCGAGAUACAAAAAUCUCAUUUACAUUGAAAUAAGUGUUUGACUAGUAUAAAAAUUUUGUGUUUUUAGUGAAGAGUAGUUUGUUGUCACUCCCGAUUUAUUGAAAGUGCCUUGUAAAUUUAAAAUUUGGACAGUAAAUAGAAUAAACCGAACUCAUCCAGCGAUAAACAAAGGACGGUGAGCAUGACCACUGUUUAAAGUGGUGAGCUAAUAUAACUCCAAAUUUGAAUGCUGAGAGCAUCAUGUGACAGUCUUUUUGUGUGACAUGACACGUGAUUAGAUUUGGAUAUAAUUGGUACUGGACUUCAUAUUUCCCGUGAAACAACAGUGUCCAGCCACAUUGACCAGGCCUGUCCUUACCGCAGAAACAGAUUGGGCCUUAUGAUGAAGCCCAUUCAGUUUUUGGGCUUCAAAACUUAUCUGAAUUGUUUACUUUUCUCAUCCGCAACUACCCAAAACAAAUUAUUCGGACGUACGAACCAACAUAUUUUUUUUUUUCAAAACCUCACCUACAUGUAAUCCUAACACAUCUCUAAUUAAAAAAAACUUCCCACACUUUAUAUGUGUGCUCAUAUGCUAAUUAUAUUAGAGAGUAUCAACGAGUGCGUCAGCUACUAAAUAAUCGGUUAACAGAUGAGUGAGGUUUGCGUUUGAAAUAGCAUCAGCGGUUACUUAUUUAAUUAAAUCAAAGGAAAACUAACCAAAAGGGCUUGAAAAGUUUAACUUUUAACCAAAAACCACAUUGAAAGUUUAUUUAAUGGUUAGUACAAAGCCCAUUAUUAUAUCAGCCCAAAUACAAUAGUCCAGACUAAAUAAUAUUGUGGUUUGUCAAUUUUACCCCUAACGGAUGUGGUUAACCUAAUUUACCUAUUCUGUUAGAUUACUCGGUUUGGGGUUAACCUAAUUUACCUAUUCUGUUAGAUUACUCAGUGGGAUUUUCAAUUUUUUAUGAAUCUGGUUGAGUGGUUUGAGUAAUGCUUGCCGACGAAUGUUGAGAGCGCAUUUUGAAAUCGUGAUCGCCGUUGUUCUAUUUUUCCGGAAUAAACAUUUGUUUCAGAACAAAUUCGCAGUAGUUUCAUAUUUUGAGAUUCUACUGAAUCGUUGUCAUCGGUGUUGUUCGUUGUGCUUGAAUAUUUUAACUGGAGUGAUCGUCUUUCAUAUUUGGUUAGAUUUUCGUUUGGAGGUAAUCGACAUUGUUUUUGCAGUUUUGUAUUCGAUUUUGAAUUCGAUUUUUUGUUUAAUUCGAAUUCGAUUUUGAAUUCGUUUUUGUAUGUAAUAUGCUUCGCUUUUAUUUGACUUUAUAUAUUGUUGUUGAUUUGUUUUCAGAUUAGCAGAUUGAUUCGGUUUGUGAACUUUUCAGUUAGGAGUUUCGAAGAAUCUCAGGUAAGUUUUGAUUUGUUUUUUUUUUUUUUUUUUUUUUGAAUUGGAAUUCGAUUUUGAAUUCUUUUUUGCAUGAAUUAUGCUUAGCUUUUUAUUUGACUUAUAUAUUGUUGUUGAUUUGUUUUCAGAUUAGUAGAUUGAUUCCGGUUUGUGAAAUUUUCAGUUAGGAGUUUCUUAUUUUGAAGAAUCUCAGGUAAGUUUUGAUUUUUUUUUUUUUUUUUGUUUUGUUUUGUUUAUAUUGUAUGUUGGUCAUCUUGAUUUUGUUUUCUUUUUCAGAAAUUUAUUAUGAAUUAAUUCGUGUUAUACACAUUUGAUGUUGUUAACAUUUUUUCAGAAAUAGUGUUCUUUUUUUAAUGAAACAGUGUAUAUUCAGUUUAUUUUCUGUUUUUUGUGAUUCUUGUGUUUAUAAACUAGUGUAAUUUUGUUCACUUUAUAUGUAUAUUGUUUAACUAAUAGGUGUUCAUCACAUUUUAUGUUUUUUAACAUUUUUCAGAAAUAGUGUUCUUUUUUUUACGAAACAGUGGAUAUUUCAGUUUACUUUUUUUUUUUUGUUUUGUUUUUGUUUUUUUUUUUUUUUUUUGUGAUUGUUGUGUUUUAUAAAUAGUGUUAUUUUUGUUCGUUUUAUAUGCAUAUUGUUUAAUUAUUAGGUACUGAUUUGUUUUACAAAGAUUUGAAUUUAGAUUUGCAACCGAUUAAUAAACAGUUGUUGUUUAUUAAUAAACAGUUAUGGAGAAUGGUAAACUAGCUCGGUUUACAUAUGGUGGUUUAUGCGUCGUUAGUUCUAUUUCAUCAUCUUCUACCUUCAAUCAGAUUUGCAUUGAUCUUUGUUCUAGGUUUAAGGGUUUGAGAGUUGGUUGUUUUGAGUUGCGAUAUGGUUUGAAUGAAAAUCCUAAUUGCGUGUUAGAUUGUGAUGCCGAUGUUCUAAACAUGUUGAUGGUUCUUGAUGUUGUUGGGAAAUCGAUUGUAGAAAUAUUGGUUAUAGACAAAUGUGAUGGUUCCAUAGUUCAGUUACCUUCGGAAAGCACAUCUUCUUCUUGCCGUACAUUAGACUCUAUGAUUGUUUCUAGUGAAAAUGAUCAUUUAGGAAAAUAUGGUUCUUACGGUGUGCACAAUUAUAUGUCAUGUGAAUGGGACAAUUACAUAGAAUCUGAGGGGCAAGUCUUUAGGGGAGGUUGUAAUGAUUUCCGAGAUAAGUUGAAGAAGUUUUCUGUUGAAUGUGGUUUUGAUUUGAAGUAUUUGAAGAAUGAUAAGAAUCGCAUUAGUGCGGAGUGUUCUAGGAAGGAAUCUGAUGGCUGUCUUUGGCAUGUGUAUGCAUCCAAGUGUGAUAUUAAUAACUUUUUUGUUAUUCGGAAGUUGCAUAAUCUGCAUACAUGCAAGGGUAUGAUUCGAAAGAAGAAAAACAAAGUUGUUGGCCGACAGUUUGUUGCUCUCUUAUCAAGGAUAAGGUUCAAUCAAAUCCUCUUAUUAAACCGAAGGAGAUCAUUUCAAAUUUAAAACAGUUUUAUGGAUUAGAUAUCGAUUAUUCUACUGCCUAUUUUGGCAAACAGAUGGCAGUUUUUGAGUUAAAUGGUGAUGAUGUUGAUGCUUACAAGUUCUUGCCUUGGUAUGUUGAAUCUGUUCGUUCAAGCAAUCCUAGAUCUGUUUUUGAGCUUGAAGUUGUACCGGAGAGCAAUAGAUUUCUUCGUUUGUUUAUUGCUUAUGAUGCAUGGAUAAAAGGUUUCAUGUUUUGUCGCCCGAUGUUAUUCAUUGAUGGUACUUUUAUCAAGAGCAAAUACAAGGGAACACUUCUGUCUUGCUGUGCAAAAAAUGGUAACGAUUGUGAGUUAAUAAUUUUAGACUUUUAUAUUGGAUAUUAUUUGUUUAUGUUUUCUUACUGUGCAAAAGAAACAUAUCCAGAACUAGUUGAAGAACAGUUUAAGAAAUAGUUCAAUCAGUCUCAUAAAUAGGUGAUACUCUGACUGUAUCUGUUUUUUUUUUUUUUUUUUUUUUUUGGUGCAUUGGUCUUUGAUUUUAUGUUCAAAUAAAGAAAAAAGGUUGCAGAAGUAGUUCAAACAAAGUAUACUAAAUAGUUCAAUUACAGUUUCAGAAGUAGUUGACAUUUGACAGUGCAUUUUCACUUUUGCUGUGCAGAGAUUUUUGAGGUUGCUUAUGCUAUUGUUGAUUCAGAAACGAUAGCAAAUUGGAGAUGGUUCUUGGCAAUAUUAUCUGGUAUAUUGAGGCCUCAAGGGAGGGUGAUCACAUUGAUGUCGGAUAGACAUGAUGGUAUUUUGAAGAGCAUUCGAGAAUUCUUUCCCGAGUGUCCACAUUCAUUUUGUAUUGUUCAUUUGAAACAGAAUGUGAGUACUUUAUUUCCAAAGGCUGCUGGUGAAGGACUAAAGAAGAAAAUGAUGAAUCUGUUGACAAAUUGUGCGUACGCAUGUACCCCAUCUGAUUUUGAUGAUUGCAUGGCUGAAUUCAAGGAUAAUGGGCAAGGGCAUGUGAAGAAUUUUUUGUGUGAUUUGCCAAAAGAGAACUAUGCUAUUGCCCAUUUUCCUGGUAAGAGAUGGGGAUCGAUGAGCAAUGCACUUUCAGAAUCUUUUAACGCCAUGGUGUCGAAUAGUCGUUGUAUGCCACUUAUGGAUCUUCUUGAAGACAUUAGAGUUCGGUUGAUGGGUAGUAUGGCUGAGAAAAGAAUAGUUGGUCAGAAUAUUCAUACGAUUUUGUGUCCAAAGAAAGAAAAUGAGAUGAAGUUGAUGUUGAAGGAGGGCAUGCAUUGGAGGAUUAGUCGUUCUGAUGCAGAUGUUUUUGAAGUUAGAACAGAGUGGAAUCGGUUUGUUGUUUGUCUGGAUGAUAGGACAUGUUCUUGUGUGCAAUGGCAGCAUAAUUGUUUCCCAUGUUCUCAUGCUUUGCAGGUGUUGCAACAUGAUAAUCGUGAUGUUUUUUAUUACGUUGAUGAUUACUGGAAAUCAAGCUUUUAUCGGAAAACAUAUCAAUUUGUCAUGCAUCCAUUUUCAGAUUUGGAAAAGCCGAAUGUUGAUACUAUCAUAAAUGGUGUGAGGCCUCCAAUUACAAAGAUUCCGUCUGGAAGACCAAAGAAAACUAGGAUCAAAUCUGCUGGGGAAAUCAGUGGGAGUAAGAAGACUGUCACUUGUAGUAGGUGUGGUUGUUCGGGACAUAACAAGGUUUCAUGUAAAGUUGUUAUACAAGAGGGGUGAUUUUUUUUCUUUUUUGUUUUGAGAGAUGGGAGUUUUUGGUAAUAUGUACCAGAUUUUCAUUUUGGAUAUUUUUUUUUAUUUUUUUUCAAUUGGUGUUUGGGAGUAUGUAAUUGUUGAUUUGGAAUUAUGUUCGAGUAAUAAAUAUGAAUUCAAUGUUUAGUAUUUCCAGUUUUACGAAACAGUAUGUUGAGUUUGAUAAAUAGUUGAGUUUGAUAAACAGUGAAUACAUAUCUAUGUUUAUGGCUUUGUGGUUUCAAUAUCUGUUUUGUAGGUUGUAUGUAAGUUUGUGUGUUGCAUUUUGUAGGAGGCAAGUAUGUUGGUUUUCAUUCUUGAUCUAGUUAAUAUUCCAUUUUAGGUAAGAGAAAAUGAAAAAAAAACCACACUACUUAUGAAAGUGAAGUAGAAAACCACACUUUGUUACCAAAGCAAACUGAACUAUAUAUCAAAAUGAAUUAUUUAUGAUAGUGAACUAGAAAACCACUUUUUUAUCAAAGCAAACUGAACUAUUUAUCAAACUGAACUAGAAACCCACACUUUUUAACUAAGCAAACUGAAAUAUUUAUCAAAAUAGAUUAAAAUUUAGAUUAAGUCAUGAAACAUAUAUAUAUAUAUAUAGAGAGAGAGAGAGAGUUGUGUCAAAUAUGUUUGACAAUGACAUUUGUAAAUCAUAGCAAAAGUAAGCUUGAACAUGUAAGUAUUGCUUCAGUUUAGACCAAUACUUUCCACCAUCUCUCAGAUUUUCAUCUUGAACCUUAAAAAGUACAUCCGAAUCAAAAUUACAUAUAAUGCGUAUUUUGUAUUUUUUAUUCUAAUGUCCAAUGCUUGUGAGUUGUUGUGAGAUUUCGAUAUAUGCUUCUUGUUCCCUUGUCCAGCUGAAAUCAUGGUUCAUCAAAUCCACGAGGAUAUGUUUCCUUGCUUUCAUUACUUGAUGAUCUUUGAUACAUCCUUGAACCUUCCGGUUAGUUGAUAGUUGGUCAAUGAAGCUCAUCAUGUAUAAACCACAAUCUAAUCUGAUUUACAAAGAAAUUCAUGGAAUGAUUAUGAGUAUUAUAAUGAAAUGAAAUGUGUGGUACAAACUAUUUCUAUAACUGUAUCAAAUUAUUCAUAUUGUUUCUGAAACUGCAGUAAGCACAAACUAUACAUAUAUAUAACUAAAAUGCUUUUAAUUUUAUAACGUACGAUGUUGGUUUCUGUUGUGCACAGGUUCUGUCUUCUUUGAUUUGGAAUUCAAAGUCACUUUUGAUGGAAUUAAUUUUCUUCGUUGUGGCUUGAGUUGAAUCCAUAUCAUUUGAAUUGCUUGUUGAUUUUCUUGCUUUAUCCAGCCAAUAUUGAACAAAGUGGCCCUGCAAAAAUUUAUAAUGUAAUAAUAAGAUGAUUGUUUUCUAUAAAUAUGACAGAGUUUUUGGUUGUGGGUUUUGCUUACCACAAUUUCUGCAUUUUCCCAGUAGCAAUCAAAGUCCAGAUCUUCAUCUGUUGUGCUUUGUCGAAGAGAAUUGUAGUGAAUCAUUUCUGCAUUUUUUGUGUCCAAAACUACCAAGGAGAAAUGGUUGUAAUGAAACAAUGGGAAGAAAAUCUUUGAUACUAUUCCAUAUUGGUCCAUCAAUUGGUUGUAGAGCCUUUCCUUAUUUUGCAGAGUUGUUUCAAUGCUUUGUUCAUUGAUGUUGUGCUGUUGAAAAUGAAAAUUAUCAAACAUCAUAAUUACAGAUUAAUUGUUCUAAUUUUUAUAUGUAUAUGUAAAUAAUUUUUUGCAGAAUAUUAGUUGUUUUGUUUGCUCACAAAGAUUGUUGUGGAGACAUAGAAGUUCUUUUGUUUCGUGAUGUUCUCUUUUUCUCUUUUCAUGUAGCAGAAAGAAUCAACAAUCUGAGUUGAUGUAGGUCCAUUUGCCAUCAAACUGUGCAGGUCUUCUUUCAACACCAUUAUUUUGUAAUAGUUGAAAUCUGUAGUUUCAGCCGUCCAAUAUUCAUCGCUGCAGGACAGUGUAAAAGUAUUAGUUAUACAAUAAUUCAUCAGUGCUUAUAAAGUUAUGGGAGUGUGUAAAAACUUCAGUUAAGAGUUUUGUUUUGUAUUACUUACCUGCUGUCUAUUGACCAGAAUUGAGUUAUUCUUCUUCUAUCAUCUGGUUUCAGCAUCUUGUACACUUGAAGUUGUGUCCAAUUCACACUGCUGUCUAUGUGAUUUGUUGCUGGAAGGUCAUCCGGUUGUGAAGAAGGCUCAUCUUUUAAAUCCAGGUUGAAUGAUGGAAUUUCACCCAAGAGUUUCUUUCUGUUUUUUGUCAUUGGCUUUGCUGCUUUUUGGCUGAAUGUUUGCUUUUUGACUUGUAGAUCAUUCUUGUUGAGAGUAUUGUUGUUUUUUAGAGCUUCAAUAUCUGUUUCUUCAAUUUGUUGCUUGUUUGAUUCUGAAACUGGUUUGGCAUUUUCCUUUUUCUUUUUCUUUGGAACUGGUUUGUCAUUUUCCUUUUUCUUUCUCUUGAUUGCUGUUGGUGGUUGGAGUGUUUGGCAUCUUUUCUUCUGCAUCCUUGAUUCACAAUUGUUCUGUUCUUUAGGUUGUGUCUCCCUCUUCCUCUGCCUUUGUAGUGGUUGUUUUUUUUGCACCUUUUUCUUUGCAAUUUGCAUUGGUUCUCCAACUUCUUCUUCAGUAGUGGUGUCAAUCUGUAGAUGAAUUGUCUCCUUCUUCGUACGUGAUCUGUUUGCUAUUUUUCCAAGCAUUUUCCUUUGUUCUGUCCUCUUUGUUGUUUUGGAUAUCAUUUUGACAUUGGCUUUGGUUGAGUUUGACAUUUGUACAGUUAUUCUAACUGAAACCAUCUGUCAAUAUAAUUUUUAUUAGAUUGCAACUUGAUCGUAAACAAAUAAAAAUCAGUAUGAGUACACAAUUAUAUUUGAAACAUACCAAGGUGAAUUACUAUUUAUGGAAUUGGAAAACAUUUUUAUAACUGCAUAAAUCUUUAUAAGAUUCAUAUAACUAAAUAAAUUAGAAAUAAAAAUAUACAAUAAGAGGUGUAUUAUGUGUAAGAUCUGGAAAAAUUGCAAUUCUAUUUAUAAAUGAAGCAAUUGUAAACUGUUUCGUAAACACUGUUUAUUAAACUUUAAAAAACACAAACUAUUUACUUGUUCGUGAAUGUAUCCCAGAUUUUACUAUUUCCGUACAUUUCAAUUCUAUUUACAAAUGAAGCAAAUUGUAAACUAUUUCGUAAACAGUGUUUAUUAAACUUAAAAAUCGUGAACUAUCUUACUCAAAUAUAAAAAUUACAAACAGAGAAUCAUACUAGUUCGUGUAAUAGCAUAAUGUAUGUUUAUAUAUUGAACGAUUAGCUAGUAAAUAGUAUUUUAUUGGGUGGAUCUGUGAUGGAUUCGUACUGAUAGUAAAUAACAAAAUAAAUUUAAGCAAAUAGUAUAAUCUGGGUUUUGUUUAAGUUGACGCAUGUUAUUCUAUAUGCUUAAUUCCAGUAGAUGUUUGUUAUAUAAACAAUGAACCGUAUGAUUUUGUGAAAUAUGUUGAGAAAAAUUGUAAGAUUGUUACCUUUUGUUUAUUUUCUGGGUAUUUCUGCGACCAAGUUGCUCAGCGAAGUUGAAAUUUGCGUGAAUUCGUCCGUAAAAGAACUUGAAUGAUGUACGAAAUCGGGAAAUGAGGAUUGAUGAUUUGAGCUGGGGGCUGGGGGCUGGGUUUCUGGUUUUCUUUUUUUAUAGUGCAUGCAGUUUCUUCAUCGUGGCUUAUCUGUGCGUGAAAAUGAGAGUGGUGUUAGGGAGAGAAAGUGAAGUUAGCGCAUGAGUGAAAUGAUGAUUUUUGCUGGGCGUUAAUUAUGCGUGAAGGAUGGGGUGCUGAUUUGGAACUGAAAAAAAAAAAAAGUUGUUAUUUUUCAUUUUUUAGAUAUAGUGUGUACAUAUAUUUCAGAAACAGUUUAAGUUAUCUAGUUUUUUGUUUUGCAUAAAUUUAUCUAAUUUGGUAACUAUAUUUUUUGGAUAAUAAAAGGGAACUUUAACAAAAAAGGAAGUGUCAAAAUGUAAGCAUGUGAAAUUUUUUAAUAUAGUUCUCAUUCUUAUAAGUUAUAACUCAAAGAAUCAGGUAUGUGAAGUUGAUUGGCUUCAUAGUAAACUUCUUUUUCAUUUUUAUAUGGUUUCUUUAGAUGAGUAAUGGUAUUAGGCCCCCUAGGGCAAAAAAAAUUAUAAAACGUACGCAAGUAUGGGAUGGGCACCAUCAUACAAGCCCACCUGAGCUCGGGGUUUUGUAUGUAGAUGUACAUUGAUAUAAAAUGUAAUUUGUAAAACUCAAGCUAAUGUAAUAAAAUCCUCAUCAGGAAUGUCAUCAUAUUGACCAUGUUUAUUUUGUUGUCUUCUGUCUUCAAGUAUCUUCUUCAGUCCAUUUGCAUAACUAUUCUUGUGAUUCACAAGUGCAGUUGCAAUUUGAGUUCUUUUGGCAAAUACUUCUUCCUUCUCAAAGGUGUUGGCUUCUAUUGGGUUUGCCCUCUUGCACUUGGGUUGCAAAUUGAAUGACAAAUAUGCCACAAUCCAAUCUGCAUUUUUUUUUUUGGAUAAACAAAUAAGUAUGACAGAUAAUGAGAUCAUAUUAUAACAUUCGAUGACAUAUUAAAAGUGAAAAAAUGAAACUAUUUCUUGUUCGUAACACUGUUAUGCAAACUGGAACUAUAUCUGAAAACUAUAUUAUGACACUAUUUUGCAAAGUCUAAAUUUAUAGUAUAUUUUCUAGAAUGAUUUUGUUUUCUGUUUUCUGUGUCUCAUUUCCAUAUAUUUGUAGUUAGAUGACAUAUUAUUACUGAAAAAAUGAACUAUUUGUUGAUUUGUAAUACUGUUUCGUAAAGUGUAAAGAGUGAAAAAUCAACUAUUUCUGAAACUUCUUAUGACAUUAUUUUGCAAACUGCAAACUAUUUUUUCAAGUAUAAGUCUUGUGUUUGUAUAUAUGAUUUUCAUGGUCCUUCUUAUGUGUUUGAAUGUAUAAAUUUGAUUGAAAAAUAUAGAGAUCAACUUGUUGUUUGUACUUACGAGUCCUCCUUUUGUUGGGCGCAAGUUAAGCAUCUUUCAAUAUCUAUUGUGAGAUUGCUGUCUCCUUUGAAAUCUUUGUAAAAUGCUUCUAUUUUGUCUCUCUGCCAAAAACAAAAAAAACAAAAAAAACAACAAAAAAAAAAUUGUAUUAUGAAGUUUGAUUUUUCCUAUCAGAAUAAGAAUAUAGUUUGUAAUUGAAUUAUAGUUUUGUUCUUACCACUUGAACAACAUGAUCAAAGUAUAGGUCUGUAUUCCCAUGUACCCUUGGUAGUUUGGAAUUGUAGUGUGUCAUUUUUCCAUUUUUAAUGUCCCAAACUACCAAGCUGAAGUGAAAGUAAUGCUUGACCAAUAUGAAGACCUUUCCUACUUUAUCCACAUUAUCUUGUAAGACUGUCUUCAAUGUUUUGUCAAUGUGCUCCUGAUCAGUCUUGUUUUUCUCAAUCUCCAUAUCAUUCUGAACCAAGAAUACACAUGUAUUUAUUAAUCUUAAUUAAUGAGCAACACUAAUUCUUAAACUGAACCGAAAAAUACACAUUUUUUUUUCAAUCUCCAUAUCAUUCUGAACCAAGAAUACACAUUUAAAGUUUUAAAGUGAAUGCAAGGCCUUUUGUAGGAGGCAAGUAUACAAAGCAAACUGAACUAAUAUGAAAGUGAACUAUUUAGCAAAGUGAACUAGAAAACCACACUUUGUUACCAAAGCAAACUGAACUACAUAUGAAAGUGAACUAUUUAGCAAAGUGAACUAGAAAACCACACUUUGUUACCAAAGCAAACUGAACUACAUAUGAAAGUGAACUAUUUAGCAAAGUGAACUAGAAAACCACACUUUGUUACCAAAGCAAACUGAACUACAUAUUAAAGUGAACUAUUAGCAAAGUGAACUAGAAAACCACACUUUUUUGUAAACAAAACUGUUUGGCACUUACAAAUAUGAAUGAAGGAAGAUACAGAUUUUUUUGUUGCCUCAUUUUUGAUUCGUUUUCUGCCAUUGUGUAGAACGAAGCAUCAAUUAUGUUGGCGUCGAUUGCUCCAUCCACAAACAAUGAUGUCAGAUCUGAUUUUAGGACAACAAGGUCAGUCGCCAUGGACCCUUGUCUUGGCUGCAUCCAGAAGUAGUCCCUGUAUCAGAAAAUAAAACGUAUUAUAUAUCUAUGUAUAUGUGUGUGUGUGUGUACACAUGUAUUAAGUUAUGAUUAAUAAUGUAAACUUACAUUUUCUCUUGUCUGUAAUAUUUCUUGAAUUUUUCUUUUGUCUCAUCUUCAAGUAACUUGUACGCCCUUGUUGAUGCAGGUAGAUGAUACCGUUUGUCAAGCUUUUGCUUUACAGGUUUCUUUGCAGCCUUCUUUGCAGGUUUGUUUGCUAUUUCUUUAGCAAUUGGAUUCAAGGGUGAUUCAACCUUGGGCUCCUCCUUUCCUUUCUCAAUUAUUGGUUCCAAUAGUUGGCUUUCUGACUGAAAAAUUGAAGGGCUUUCACUGUCACUCACAGCAUAUAUAUAUUUUGCCUUCUUUUGUUUUCUCUGGAUGGGGAUAUAAUCAUAAUGUGGAUCGACAUUUGGUUUACGAUCAUCCCUCAUUCGAAUAUUUUUUACUAAUGUUCUCGUCUUCUUUUUGGCAGUCUCUUUUCCUUGUUUUUCAGCAUCCUUGAUAGUUGGAGUCUGCAUUUGAACAUCUUGUUGAACUCCGGAGGUUCCUUUUUCAGUGGCAGUGUCUUUUCCUUCAUGUUCUUGAUCCUCCUCAGCUUGAUCCUCCUCAUUUUCAUCUGGAUCAUGAUCAAUUGCAUGCCUUUGUUUUGGAUCCUCCAUAGCCACAUCAUUUUCAGUUGCAUUCUCUUGAACUGGAUCCUCAGUAGCAAUAUCCUUAUCAUGUGUAUGCUCUUCAACUUGAUCAUCAUUAUCUGGAUGUUCUUUAGGUGGUUAAUCCUCCUCUGGAUCUUCCUUGGUUGAAGCAUUUAUAUCUGGUACUAUUGCUUGAUUUUCCAGUAGCUUCUUCUUCAAACUUCCAAUUUCAUCCAGAAGUUUAUUUACUUUCAUAGAAGCUGCUGUGUUAUUUAAUUGCAACUGUAUCAUUUCUGUGUUCAUUGAACUAAUCUUCUGCUUGUCCUCAAGUCGUUCUUGCAGAAGCUUUUCAAUGUUUCUGUUGAGGGCUCCAGUUGUUUGAUUCAUUACAAUUGAAUUUGUGUGUAGGUUAUCGAGUGCAUAUAUCAUCAUGUGACUGAGGACUAGAUACCUCUUUUGAUCCAUGCUCGCACAUCUUUUAAACUUUUCAAAAUCUUCCACACCUAAUGUGUUAUCAAUCCCGAUGAAGUCCUUUUGAUAACUUGCAUCAAAUUUCAUGAAUUCUUCUUGGUACAGUUGAUCAAACUGUGACUGAGCUUCAGUGAUGGUGAUGCUUUGAUCUUCUUCAGCUCCAACUUCAGUUCUCUUCUUUUUCCUUCCCGUUGUCUUCUUUUCCUUUUUCUUGGAAGACUCAUUAUUUUGUUGAGGAUAAUGAAUGACAUUACAUUCUUCUUGGUUGAUGUUGGAAUGCUCCUUUGUUGGUUCUUCAGAACAAGGAAUACCUCCACCAAUCUACACAGUGACACAUUAAAUAGUUGUUAAAUUACAUAAUAAUGUCAUUGUUUCGUAAACAUUGUUUAUUAAACUUUAAAAAACGCAAACUAUUUACUGAAUGUACAAAUUAUUAAAAGAGAAUCAUACUAGUUUGCAUAAUAGAGUAAUAUAUGUUACUAUUUAUUGAAAUACACUUUUCUUUUUGACACUAUUUCUGUUUUAUAUAAAUGACACUAUUGCUUGAUCUGUUUUAUAUAAAUGACACUUCUGAAACUUUAAACUGUAAAGACCACUAUGUUAUGAAACUGUAAAGUGCAAAAAUAUACUGUUUAUUGAAAUACUUUUAUUAUUUGUCCUUACCUCAAUUUCUUCAACUCGAAUGUCUCUGAUUGCUUUGUGGAUUUUCGUUAUGUCCCAUCUUCCAAUGGCAGGAAUCAUGUUUUCUCGCCCACUUAUUGUCUCCACCAGAUUGGUGUGAAGACAAAUCCAAUACUGCAUGAAAUAAGAACUUUGAAUUACUUUCUUGUGUAAUUUAUAAGACAUAAUUCAUGUUUUUUAAAUAUAGUUCUUAUUUCUUACCAAAAUAAGGGCAGUGCAUCCGCUUGUUGUUGCUGAUUCUUCUCCAUUUUUCCUCUUUUUCUUCGAUUUGUUAAUCCUCUUGAACAAGUAGUCCCUCACUCCUUUUGCCCAGUUGUAUUUGCUGAUUUGGUCCAAAGCUCCACAAAUUGUUAUGAAGCUCCACGCUAUGUAAGUUCCAGAUGUUGCAAAUAACAGUGAUUGUAGCAGAUGCACACAUAUAAUUGAAGCAGUAGCUUUUGCCCCUUCAGGAGUUUUGUCUUGGACUGAUUUUUGGUAUGCUUCAACAAUGUCCUUUUUUUUCACUAUUUUUUGCUUUGCAAAGUAUGCUUUGACAAAGCUGUCCUUCAUGUUCUUUGUGGAUUUGUCUGUAUUUGGUAGUUCAACCCCUUGGUUGUUCAAUCCAAAUAUUUCAACGACGUCUUCACUUGUUAUUGCUUUUGGCUCAUGAUCUCCGAAUUUGAACUGUUGUUGCUUGGAAUCAUAGCAUUGUAUGAUCUUGAUCAGAUCCAUAUCAGACUUCUUUUUUCUGUCCGUUGCAACAAUUUCAUCAUUCAUGUAGAACUUGAUUAGACUCCAAAAUGGUGUUUCGGCCAAAUGAUUGAUGACAUCUUGGCGUUGUUGAAGCAUUGGUUUGUACAAUUGCAUUGCAUUUGCAAACCCGAAAACGUUGCAUCUAUAUUGAACAUAAGAAGUUGCAGGUCUUUUAUUCUCUUUCUUACGUGGACUCUUUACAGCGAAAGUCUUUAUUCUUAGUUUCUUUGUUCCGUCCAUCUGUAAGAAUAAACAUAGUUUAAUUAUUACAACUAUUUUUUACCAAAGCAAACUGAACUAUUUAUUAAACUGAAGUAGAAAACCACACUUUUUUACCAAAACAAACUGAACUAUUUAUCAAAGUGACCUAGAAAACCACACUUUUUUUACCAAAGCAAACUGAACUAUUUAUCAAACUGAACUAUUUAUCAAACUAAACCAUUUAGCAAACUGAACUAUUUAUCAAACUAAACUAUUUAUCAAACUGAAGUAGAAAACAACACUUUUUAACCAAAACAAACUGAACUAUUUAUCAAAGUGAACUAAAAAACCACACUUUUUUUACUAAAAUAAACUGAACUAUUUAUCAAGGUACACUAGAAAACCACACUUUUUUACCAGAGCAAACUGAACUAUUUAGCAAACUGAACCAUUUAGCAAACUGAACUAUUUUAUCAAAAAAUGAAGUAGAAAACCACACCUUUUUACCAAAACAAACUGAACUAUUUAUCAAAGUGAACUAAAAAACCACACUUUUUUACCAAAGCAAACUGAACUUUUAUCAAACUAAACUAUUUAGCAAACUGAACUAUUUAUCAAACUGAACCAUUUAGCAAACUGAACUAUUUAUCAAACUGAACUAUAUAUCAAACUGAAUCACUUAGCAAACUGAACUAUUUAUUAAACUGAAGUAGAAAACCGCACUUCUUUACCAAAACAAACUGAACUAUUUAUCAAACUGAACUAGAAAACCACACUUUUUUACAAAACAAACUGAACUAUUUAUCAAACUGAACUAUUUAGCAAACUCAACUAUUUAUCAAACUGAACCAUUUAGCAAACUGAACUAUUUAUCAAACUGAAGUAGAAAACCACACUCGUUCGUGAAUGCAUCUCAGAUUUUACUAUUUCCUUACAUUUUAAUUCUAUUUACAAAUGAAGCAAAUUGUAAACUAUUUCGUAAACACUGUUUAUUGAACUUAAAAAUCGUGAACUGUUUUGUAAACACUAUAUAUUAAACUAAAACACCACCGGAAUAGAAUGUUGAUUAUAUUUAAGUUAUUUAAGCAAAGAAAACAACAUAUGAGGGCAAGAAAAUACUAUUUAAAGGUUAUAAGAAAACGAGCAGUUAUCAAAGUGAAGUAAAAAUAUACCAUUUUGCAGAAACAUUGCUAUUCGAAGCAUGCAAACUUACAUAUUACUGUAAAAUCACCAAAAAUAUCAGAAAUUUUGUGGUAUGUACCUCUGUUUCUUCUCUGUUGCUUUUAUUUCCCAAAUUUUUUGUGUGUUUUCGUCUGGAUGCAAAUCAGAACUGUGAACUGGAAACAUAAUUCAUUUUUUAGAAUCUCAAACAUGCAAAUGCACAUAUUUAGUAAAUUAAAGUAAGAAAUCAUCAAGAAUAUCAGAAAUUAUAGGUUCGUACCUGUGUUUGUCCGAUUUCGACUCUGCAAACAUACAGUUCGAAUGUUUUCAGUUUUUCGUCUUCAAAUGUAGUUUUUGGGUUGAGAAAUUCCGGAUUUGAUGUGUAGAUUAUUGCUUGAAAACUUGAAUCGAACUUGAAAACGCUUUGAGAUCUUGACGUUUGGAGUAAUGGAGGUUUCGAUUUUUUGGUACGGUGUGAAGGGGCUGGUGAACAUUAAUGGCGUUGGGAGGGAUGAUGAAUUUUAGUAACUUCGGCUAACGGGCCUGGGUUAGGCUCCGUUAGGGGCAAUUUUGGAAUAUUAAUUGUUAUGCGGUUUGGGCUUUUUGGUGAGCCCGUGUGUUUUAGUUUUGUAGGGCCUAAGAUAAAAGUUUUGUGUCCUUAUGAUUAAAAUUUAAGCCCUUUUCAUUAAAUAAUAGUUUAGGGUAGUUUUUCAUUAAAUAAAAGUUAAUUCAAUCCCUUUUUAUUAAAGCUCCCUUAAAUCAAACAAUGGCAGCCUGGCAGGUGUCGUGAUGUCCCAAAACUUUGUGGAGGCACAUCCAAAUUUAUGACCACGUUAGCCUCAAUCCUAUUCAUAUUUAAACCAGUGAUGGUAUGAGUCCGAGAGACAAUUUGGUAGUAUUAUCUUGUUAUCUUCUCGGAAGAAAUAAAUUGUAGAUGCUAAAAAUACUUUUUUCUAGAGAAAGAGGACCACAUUCAUUCACAAUGGUCCUCCUGUUAUUUUGUUCAAAGAUGGUUUAGGGUUACUCAAUUUUUUCUUUUCAAAAAUAAUUUCUUAAAAAAGUUGGGACUUCUAUUGUAAUUGAUAAGUUAAAUCUAGGGAACUUUAACAAAAACUCGUUGUACUGUUUACUUUAACAAAAAAUCAUAUUUUUACACUAAAAAUUCAACUUUGGUACUAUUCAUUAUACCAUUUAUUUUAUUCUUAUCAUUAAAACUCAAAGUUUUCAAGCAUUUUUCAUUAGCUUCCUUUAAAACUAUUGGUCCAAAACAACUCUACACAUGCUUCUCAAAAAGUACUUUUAUCAUUGGAAGUAGGUGAACAAUAUCAAUGAAUGAAACUUUCAUAUUGACAGUCAACCCAAUCAUUUGUUUUUUUUUUUUUUUUUGCUAAAAGCACUUUUGACACUAUAGUUUGACCAAAUACUUACUUUUUUUUUACAAGUGCUUAUUUUCACAUCAUAACAUAAGCAAUUUCAAAGGAAAAAAUAAUAACCCCAAAUUAACAAUUAAAUUAAUCACAAGCUGGUAAUCCAGUGAUAAAGGAUGAAUUAUGAGACUUCCUUAAAAUUAAAAAGUAGAGGUCUCGGGUUCGAAACCCGCUGCUGUCGUGGAAGCCAGACUUGUGGCUAGAAGGAGUGCCUUAUGUCUUCCCGACAUUCGAAAUAGAUGGAUAACUGUGACUUGCCAUCAGUUGUCUCCCUUUCAAAAUUCCGCCUCUUCAACUCGACCUUCCCCAUUCUCUCUCUUUCUAAAAUGGGUUCGAUCAGCAGUCAACUGGGCUCGCGCCCAUCUCGACCCCGAGUCAAUCGCACCGCCGGUAGUUCCAAACUCCCCUAUUUCGUUUGCGGUGGCUCCUCUGCACCUGCUACUCACGAGUAAACCUGGCAUUUUGGACCCGACCCGUUAACCCGACCCAACCCCGACCCGUUAAUAUUAGUAUUUAGGUGGAUACUUAACAGGUCGGGUCGUUAACGGGUGAACCCGUUAAAUAACGGAUCACUUUAGGUCAACCCAUUAACACCCGUUAAUUGAUGAUGUUUUAGUAAUUUUAAUAAAAUCUUGAAACAAAACAUAAACUCUAUGAAAAUAAUAAUAAUAAUAAUAAUAAUUGUUAACGUGUGUUUACUCGUUAGUUUAACGGGUCAGAUUCAGAUGACCCGUUAGCUUAACGGGUUAGGUUCAGAUGACCCGUUAACUUAACGGGUCGGAUUGAACCCAAUGCAAACCCAAUAAAUCCGACUCGUUUACAAGUCUACUCACGAGAUACCCUUUUCUUCUACUUCAUCACCAACCGUCAAUAAGCACUAAUCUAACUGCCAAGAAUAAUCUAACGGCCAAGAAUCCUGAUGUACCCUAUAAUUCAAUCCGUGCUAUACAAACCUAAAAGAGCAGUUUCCUAAUUCCUAAAGUUUCGGCAACCUCGCAGCCCAACCAUGUUUGGACUUUAUUGACCGCGUGUCGCACGCUUGCACCCACCACCAAUCACCAUCAGAUCUCUGAUGGUUGACCAGUCAACGCGCCUUCUCAUUGCGCCCAUUGACGCCUUCUCCUCCCCCACCACCAGGCCCACCACUAUUACACAUGCUCCGCCGCCGCUUUUCACCUCCUUCCGCCGCCAAUAACUAACUUAUUUCUUACCAUAGUUUUUACGAAAAUAUUCUCAAAAAGCAAAUUAAAAGGAAAAUUAAUAUCGCAAUAACAUUCAUUAAGCCAAAGUGACCAAGGGGGAUAGAGAAUUUUCUCGAGAAACAAACAGAAAAUAGAGGGAAAUGCGAUGCGAUUUCGAGCAACUUCACCCAAAUAUAAUCACAAAUACUAUACUUAUUGAAGUGGAGGACGUGAUCAGAUCCUAUUUUUUCCACGUACACAUCCAUUUGAUGAUCUAAUAGUAUAUAAUUUCCCUAAAUUUCAAAAGUUAAACCCUAACAGAUGGAGAUUCGGAUCUAAAUUCAGCACCUGGAUUGAGAUAGAUGACUACCGUGUGCGGCACUAGGCGGCAGGGUUGGCGGCAUUGGUGCCGUCGGAGGAGGCUUUGUGUCCCAUCAUCUUCUUGAACUCCUCGAAAUUCACAUUCCCGUCGCCGUCGGCAUCGACGGUCUUGAUCAUCCGAUGGCAGUCCUCGAUCGUGCAGGCCAUGUUGAGGCGGUUGAGCACCAGGUGGAGCUCGUUGGCGGAGAUGAGGCCGUUCCGAUCCUGGUCGUAGAGAUCGAAGGCGUCUUUGAGCUCGGUGACGCCGCCGUCCUUGGGGCCGGCGACCCAGAAGGCGUUGAACUCGUCGAGGCAAAUGAAGCCGUCGUUGUCGGUGUCGAGAUCGACCAUGAAGCGCUUGAGCUCGUCUUCGGAGACGGUGGAGCCGAGGGCCGUGAGGACGUUGCCGAGCUCGUUGACGGAGAUCUUCCCAUCGCCGUUGGAGUCGAAGCUUUUGAAGACCUUCCGGACCUCGUCGGUGACGGCGGGCUUGGGGUCGGUGACGGCGGGUUUGGGGUCGGUGGAGGCUGGAGCACAGUUGGUUGCCAUGGUGGUUGUGGUUUUUUGGUAAAUUGGUAUUCCCAGAGUCUGCAGAUUUGAAGAGGGAAAGGGGGAAGUCUUUGGGUA
rnacentral:lncRNA from 1 species